rnacentral:rRNA from 1 species
CCUACGGGAGGCAGCAGUGAGGAAUAUUGGUCAAUGGGCGGGAGCCUGAACCAGCCAAGUCGCGUGAAGGAAGAAGGUACUUAGUAUUGUAAACUUCUUUUGUCGGGGAACAAAGGCGGAGACGCGUCUCCGGAUGAGUGUACCCGAAGAAAAAGCAUCGGCUAACUCCGUGCCAGCAGCCGCGGUAAUACGGAGGAUGCGAGCGUUGUCCGGAAUUACUGGGUGUAAAGGGAGCGUAGGCGGGACUGCAAGUUGGGUGUCAAAUCUACCGGCUCAACCGGUAGCCGCACUCAAAACUGCAGUGCUUGAGUGAAGUAGAGGCAGGCGGAAUUCCUAGUGUAGCGGUGAAAUGCGUAGAUAUUAGGAGGAACACCAGUGGCGAAGGCGGCCUGCUGGGCUUUUACUGACGCUGAGGCUCGAAAGUGUGGGGAGCAAACAGGAUUAGAUACCCGUGUAGUC